GAUGAACGCCGGCGGCGUGCCUAAUACAUGCAAGUCGAGCGAAUGGAUUAAGAGCUUGCUCUUAUGAAGUUAGCGGCGGACGGGUGAGUAACACGUGGGUAACCUGCCCAUGAGACUGGGAUAACUCCGGGAAACCGGGGCUAAUACCGGAUAACAUUUUGAACCGCCUGGUUCGAAAUUGAAAGGCGGCUUCGGCUGUCACUUAUGGAUGGACCCGCGUCGCAUUAGCUAGUUGGUGAGGUAACGGCUCACCAAGGCAACGAUGCGUAGCCGACCUGAGAGGGUGAUCGGCCACACUGGGACUGAGACACGGCCCAGACUCCUACGGGAGGCAGCAGUAGGGAAUCUUCCGCAAUGGACGAAAGUCUGACGGAGCAACGCCGCGUGAGUGAUGAAGGCUUUCGGGUCGUAAAACUCUGUUGUUAGGGAAGAACAAGUGCUAGUUGAAUAAGCUGGAACCUUGACGGUACCUAACCAGAAAGCCACGGCUAACUACGUGCCAGCAGCAGCCGCCG
rnacentral:rRNA from 1 species